AGACUAUCUGGAACUGAAGACAUGGCCUGGCCAUUGCUGCUGCUCAUGCUGUUAAGUUAUUAUACAGGUUCUCUCGGCCAGGUCACGCUGAGUCAGCCGCCCUCAGUUUCGGUGUCUCUCAGAGGCCCAGCGAAGCUCUCCUGCACUCUUUCUAGUGCGGGCACAUUAGGAGGUGUCGUCUGGUUACAACAGAGAACUGGAGAGAAGCCGAGGUACCUGCUGAGAUACAACAAAGACUCCGAUAAGCAUCAUGGCUCUGGCAUCCCGGACCGCUUCUCUGCCUCCAAGGAUUCCUCCAAUACAAUUUGCUACUUAAGCAUCACCAACACUCAGGCAGAGGAUGAGGCAGACUAUUAUUGUCUUGUAUGGACCUCUGGGGGUGUCAGCUCUCAGCCUACACUGACCCAGCAGCCCUCAGAGUCCGUGGUGCUUGGAAAGACAGUGAGACUCUCGGCCCGUUUGAGCAGCGGCUAUGAGAGCUAUGUUGUGGAGUGGUAUCAGCAGAGAGAGGGGCAGGCUCCUCGGCUUCUGAUGUACAGUGACAGCAGCAGACCCAGCGGGAUCCCAGAUCGAUUCUCUGUUUCCAAAUCGGGCAGUGAUCGCUAUUUGACGAUCACUGGGGUACAGCCAGAAGAUGAGGCUACAUACUACUGUGGUGUAGAUCAUAGCAGUGGCAGUAGCUAUGUGUAA